UACGAGGGGGGCGAGCGUUGUUCAGAAUUAUUGGGCGUAAAGGGUGCGUAGGCGGUUUGAUAAGUCUGAUGUGAAAUCUAUGGGCUCAACCCAUAGCCUGCAUUAGAAACUGUCGGGCUUGAGUAUGGGAGAGGUGAGUGGAAUUUCCGGUGUAGCGGUGAAAUGCGUAGAUAUCGGAAGGAACACCUGUGGCGAAAGCGGCUCACUGGACCGUAACUGACGC
rnacentral:rRNA from 1 species